GUGGUCUGCUAAAUGUUCAGUCUGUGGGAAAUAAAACUCUAGAUAUCCGUGAUUUCAUCAAAGAAAAGGAUCUUGACAUUUUAGCGGUAACUGAAACAUGGCUAAAUGACUACGACGUCGCCAAGAUUCGUGAGAUGACGCCAGGGUUGGAGUAAUUGUAAUUGUAAUUUAAUUAGAAUGUAAUUAAUUACAUUAAAGUAUGUAAUUGUAAUUGGAUGUAGAACUUAAUGAAGUAAUUGUAAUUAUAAUUAAUUACAUUAUAAAGUAAUUGUAAUUUAAUUGUAAUUGCGAAAAAAGUAAGUCAUACUAAAAUUCUGAUAAUCCUUGUUUUUACUGCUAUGGUGGCAAAUAUGUAAAUACUGUAUAUGAUGAAGUAUGGCAACCCUUACUGGACAACCUACGUAUUAUACGAGAAUCAGACGCGUCCACUUUUCCCUGUUUGGUGGACUGGGACAUAUUUCAUUGCUUCCUAGACCGUCAUACGGCAAAGUCCUCCUCUUGACUUUCUAUUGUAAAGCAGUGGUUGCCAACACACCCAGUCACAUGCAGGUGUAUAGAUUCCCCCGUCAGGAAAUCAUCAGGCUCUGUGAUGAGUUGCACCCCCACCUGGAAAGGAGAACCAGGAGGGCACAUGCACUCCCAACACACACCCAGGUUCUGGCUACACUAAGGUUUUUGAGACAGUGCGUAUCCUAUGGAGCCAUUCCUGAUGACCCCAGUUGCACGCCCGACAACGCCUGGGGAGGAAUGAUACAACAAGUCAUCACAGGACAAGAUGAGUUGUCGAACGGACCUUUGGGAUCCUCAAGUCAAGGUGCAGGUGCCUACAUAAGUCAGGAGGAAGUUUGCAGCAUGACCCCAAGAAGACUAUGAAGAUUGCGACUUCUUGUAUGCUCCUGCACAACUACUGAGUGGAUCGCUGCAGAAGAAGUACCAGUUCAGCCUGUGAGAAACAGCAGACUGAUUCCUGGUCAAGUUGUCAGGCAGGAAAUUAUUAGAAACUUCUUUUCCUGAGUAUAGGUAGGCAUAUAUGUAGACCUUGCAGUUAGUAAUAGAUUACUUUCAAAUGUAAAUGUGCACAACUCACAGUCGGAGGCAUAAGAACAAAACAAGAAAUCAUAAUGGCCACAUGUUCAGCAUUCUUGAUCACAAUUUUAUGGCGAUUAUUAUUAAUAUUUAAUUAAUAUCAGCUUACACCUGCAGAUUGCGUAUGGUGCACCGGUGGCCGAGUGG